CAAUAACAAAAGAACUGCUAAUUUGAUUUGACAUUGAUCUGAAACUUUCUCAAAACUAAAAGAACAAGAGCAUUUCUAACUAUAAGUUGACCUAAAGACUUGUAUUUAUGGAGAAUCCUCUAAGGAUCCAAACCUAAAAUCUCAGGCCUCACUUGGAAAACCUUUAAGCAUCAAUUGGCAUCUAACAAGGAGCUAACAGAGUAUUCAAUGACAUGAACAGCCCAAGCAAGUCAGAC
rnacentral:lncRNA from 1 species